rnacentral:rRNA from 1 species
CACGGGGGGAGCAAGCGUUGUUCGGAAUCACUGGGCGUAAAGGGCGUGCAGGCGGUCAGGUAAGUGGGAUGUGAAAUGCCCCGGCUCACCCGGGGACCGGCAUCUCAUACUGCUUGGCUUGAGUACGGGAGAGGAUGUGGGAAUUCCUGGUGUAGCGGUGAAAUGCGCAGAUAUCAGGAGGAACACCGGUGGCGAAGGCGGUUCUCUGGGCCUUACCUGACGCUGAGGAGCGAAAGCGUGGGGAGCGAACAGG